UACGGAGGGUGCGAGCGUUGUCCGGAAUCACUGGGCGUAAAGGGCGCGUAGGCGGCCCGGCAAGUCAGUGGUGAAAGCCCGAGGCUCAACUUCGGGUCGGCCACUGAUACUGCGGGGCUCGAGUCGACUAGAGGCAGAUGGAAUUCCGGGUGUAGCGGUGGAAUGCGUAGAGAUCCGGAAGAACACCAAAGGCGAAGGCACCAUCCUGGGGAGUCACUGACGCUCGGGUGCGAAAGCCAGGGGAGCGAACGGG
rnacentral:rRNA from 1 species